CACUUUGUUCCAAAUGCAUUCUUGUAAUGCUCCUCAUAAGCACCCUCGAAAUCGUAAAAGCUAUUAAAUAUUCCACCAUACACUACAACAUUUUGGCCCUACGACAACGCCUAAAUUUUGGAAGGUAAAAAAACCGUUUUGGUAGAGUCCCAUGAACAACGAUUUUCUGAUUCUGUUGUAAUAGGGUAUAAUAUUUUUUCAAUUUAUUCGUAACAACUCGAAAGCGUUGUGGUAUAAGAAACGAGAACGGAUUUUUGUUUGUUAUUUUCGUCAACACGUAUUAACCGUUCUAGUAUAAUUUUUAAUUAUUUUUAAUAAAAGUAUGAGUAACUACUUUGUUAAAUACCGUUCUUAAAAACUAUAACAAAAAAUCUUAAUAUAACAAAAAAAAAAUUACUAUUUUAAAAAACUAAUAAUUAGCGCUAUUUUUGAUGAAAGAUAAUUUUCCUCGAAAAAUACCCAACAGCCCUCUAGUCAAAAAAAAAAAAAAACAAUUUCCUCUUAAAAAAAAAAAACUCAAUUAAUCAAGAAAAACCAAAACCAAACGCAUAAGCUAUUCUCAGAAGCUCACUUUCCGUUCAAACGCUCAACCCAUUCGAACCUCAUAAGCCAAACGAAAAUCUCAAAAGAUUCAAUCCGUUGGGACCCUUAAUCUUCUGCGAACUUUCGAAACUCCGAAAUCUUCAACCCACUUGAAAAUCAUAAUUCUUCAACCCAUUCGAAAAUCUCAAAAGCUUCAACCGAUUCGAACCAAUUCGAAUCUCAGAACCCCUUUGAAACUCAUGCAGAAACCAUUCGAAUCCUCAACCCAUUUGAAACCUUUUUGAUUGCUCGCACAUGUUUCUGUAUUCUUCCCGACCUUAUCACGAGUGAGAUAGCUAAGCAGAUGCAUUUUGAGUUCAUCACACCAAUGAAAAGCAUGUUGUUCAAGUACUCUUGUAGUUGCCGAAAAACGUAUUUAUGACAUAGAAGGACAUGACCUCGACUGUGAUGGAGCGCCAUUAGCAACACCAAAAUAACUAUUAAAAGAGCCCUUUGUGAGUUAUUCUGAGCUUGUUUCCUUUUCAAUUUUUUGUUUCUUACGAAGUUUUUUUUUUUUUUUGUCAAAUCCCUAACUUUGUGAUGGUUUAUUUCAGUGUUUUUUCAACUCUUAGUAGGUGAAGAUGUUUUUGAUUUUUGAAAAGAAGAAUCGGUUUCUACAAGCAGCUAAUGCUGAUUUGAAAUGGAAAUUUUGGGUCAGUUCCUUUUCGUUCAUUCUUGAUUUUCAUUGAUUGUAUAACUGUAAUAGGUUGUUUUUGAGGCAAUUGGAAACUGGCUUGAAUUAUAAAAUGAUGAUGAUUUUUGUUAUUUUAAGUUUUCACUUUUAAAUGUUUUGGGAUAGAUUUAUGUAACCAAUGACACUAAGACUUAGCUCCUAUCAACCUUGGAAUGGUCAUAGAUAGAAUUCUAGUUCUAGAUUUUAGAUAAUUGCAUUUCCCUGAUAUACAUAUUUUUAUGCAUUUAUCAGUCAGUAGUCAUUAUGAUGGGAAUCCACUAUAUAAUCGGACCAAGGAACAACAAUAAGAAGAAAUUGACUUCUAGUAGUGGGAAGAAUUCUUGAUAAAUUGCAGAGAAAGAAGUUUCCAAAAUUGCAAAUAAAGGAACGACAACUUGUGUUGGAAGCUGGUUUAGCAGUAAUACUGUCUGCUAGGGAAAUAUGUUAUCUUAUGUCAAUCUUAUUUGUUAACUGUUUUAGCACACUCUUGAUUAGUAGAGUAAAUGGUGGGUGCCAAGCUUAUUUCAAGCUUAUUUGAAUAUUGUCUGCAAAGUUUUUGUUGAUUUCAAUUUCUUUGGUGUUCGUUCAUAUUUUCUAAGACAUUGGUUAUAGAUUUUAUUUCUUUAUUUAAAUAUCUCAUUUACUUCUGUCUUGUUGCAGUCAAAAAUGGAGUAUACAUAAUGCUUGUAAAGGAUGCUGGAGAUGCUUUUGGACGAAGUCGUUUUGUGAAGAUUGACUGCAAGGGAUUAGAUCCUGGUGAUUACAAGAAAUUAGGUUCCAAACAUAAGGUACUACAUAACCAGCUUUCAUUUUUUUCUUGUAGAUUGCUUAUUUUAUGUUCUUCCUCUUUUUUCCUGGCCCAAAUAAGUUUGAUAUUUGUACCAUAUAUAAGUCAAUAGAAUUAAUUCAAAGUAGAUGGAGUCUACACGUUGCUGAAAAGAAUUAAAAAAGAUAUACUUGCUUAUGCUUAGGAGUUGAAAAUAGUAUCCUUCCGUUUCCUUUGUUGUCAUGUGAGAGAGCCACCGUCAUCUCCUUUCUUCCUUGUAGUCGUUUUUCCUCUUCACAUAUCGGGAGAGAUUUUGUAAAAACCCAAAAUCCCCAUUUUUGAAAACUUUAAUAUUCACAUCUGUCUUCUAAUAUGAGAUCUAAUGCCUUUUUUUUUUUUAGAAUGAUUUUGCUUGUGUUAAAGUUCUGAUUUGGGAAUUUUAUGGUUAUUGGUUUGCUAAAAUUUGUGUUAUUCAUGGUGUUUUCUGAUAUUUGAUUCUGGCAUAUUCAUUUUUUAAUUGCUUCUUCAUAGGUAUAUGCUUGUUGGUUGAGGAAAUGCCACAUGAGAGCAUCCAACGGAUAUUUGUUUCUACAAGCUUUGUUUUUAUCUUCAUCAGGAACAUUAACAAAAAGUUGUUGUUAAUACGUCUCUUAAUAUUUUUCCUGCCGAGAAAGAACAUGUAAUUUUGAAGUUUGAAAAGAGUGGAAUACAUAUUCAUGGACUACUCAUAUACACUCAAUGUCUUAUAAGCUUUUGUCAGUAUUUGACAAGCUUUGAUGUUAAACCAACAUGUGGCAUGCAGGUAAAAAUCUUAACUAUGUAAUCAUUGUUUAGUAUUCACCCCUUGUACAAAUUGUGUAUUUUACUUCAAAGGCCUGCAACUAAAAUUAAAUCAAAUUAAGUUUAGUGAAUUUUAUAAUAUAUUAUACACAUAUUUGCUAGUAUUCUUCACGGAUGAAAAUUUUGAUCAGCUUAAAUACAAAGUUAUUGGUGUUAAUUUUUUAUGAUGUCAUAGGAACUUCAUUUCAUUGUUGAUGUGUGCAAUUUACCAAGAAGUAUAUGGAUAUUCAGAGUUGAGUUUGUGUUGUGUCUUGCCAGGUGUGACGUGUCUCUAUCACUACUAGUUUAUGACUAUGUUUGAAACAAUGGAGCAAUCUCUAAUUGAUACUAGUUUGAAAAGUUUAUGGUGCUGUUAUUAUAGAACAAACAUGUGAUAGUUAGAGUGAAUUUAAGUACCUUGUGAACAUGCCAUAUAAUUGAAGCACUAACAUGUUCUUGUUCCAUAACUAAAUUUUGGAGGUCGUGACUUUUCUCAUUUGCUUACUUGGUUUUUAAUAAUAUUUUAUAAUUUGGUUAAUUGGAAACUAUAGAAUUGUAAUAUAUAUAUAUAUUUUUAAACUGUAUGUGAGAUGUUUCUUUUUCAGUGGCAAAUUCUUUUUGAAUUACAGCUAUAAGGUGGAAUGAAUAUGUUAAUUGAGCUACUUCUUUUUAUCAUAUACUAUGUUGCUGUGAUACUGGUUUUAUAUUUUUCUGACUUUGACAUAUAAGAUAUAUUCUUUUGAUUGUGAUGGGCUGAAUUGAAUUGAUAUGUUGUGUGUGAACAAACAUGGGUGUUGGGUGAUUUUGAGUGUUGGAUAGUCACUUGUUUAAAAAUUGUUUACCUGCUUUCAAAUCUAUUCUCAAACUGCAUAAGUUCCUUUCAAACCUCAUAAAAAUAAACAUAUAACUUGUUUCUUUGGUUUUUAGAUGAAAAGGGAAAAGGAGUGACACCUGAACGUCAAGAGAUUUACAUUGAAAAUCUAACUCGGUGUCCUGUAUAUCUCAAUUGGUUUCCUAUAUUGCUGUAUUUGUGUUAUCUCACCGAUAUUGCCUUAAUUAUUUUGUUGCAUUUGUGUUUUCUCACUGAUUUAUUAUUAUUAUUGGCAGGUUAAUCAUCAAUUUUGUAGCCUUCAAUGAGGCUCGGCAAGUUGAUACAUCUAAAGCAAAAAAUAAAUAAGAAGAAUAUUGAUGAUAUGGACGAAGAAUUUCAAGAUUUGGAAGAACAAGAUGAAGAUAUAUAAAUUUGAUGCUUGUUUUUUUGUUUUCCUGAUGGAUAUUGGUGGUCACGUUGAAGAUGUUAUAUUGAAUGUGAUUAAUGAUAAUUGUCAUUAUCUCUAAGGGUAUUCAUUAGAAAUCCAAAAAUAUUAUUACGUAUGUAAUUGUGUAAAUGUUACUUUCAUUGUGAUCAAUGAUGAUCGACAGCUAUUUCAUUUUCUGUAAUAUAUUUAUUUAGUAUCAGAUUACAAUUUUA